rnacentral:rRNA from 1 species
CACGUAGGGGCCAAGCGUUGUCCGGAUUUAUUGGGCGUAAAGAGCUCGUAGGCGGUUCGACAAGUCGGGUGUGAAAACUCCGGGCUCAACCCGGAGACGCCACCCGAUACUGUCGUGACUGGAGUCCGGUAGGGGAGUGGGGAAUUCCUGGUGUAGCGGUGAAAUGCGCAGAUAUCAGGAGGAACACCAAUGGCGAAGGCAGCUCGCUGGGACGGUACUGACGCUGAGACGCGAAAGCGUGGGGAGCAAACAGG